rnacentral:rRNA from 1 species
UUUCCGUAGGUGAACCUGCGGAAGGAUCAUUGUCGAAACCUACAAGAAAGAACGACCCGCGAACCGGUGAAAAAGAUGUCUCGGGGAGACGUGCCUCCGGGCCCUUCUCCCCAGAGUCCUCGGCGAAGGGUGCGAUUGAAAUCCGCGUCCUUCGCCGGGGGCAAAACUAACAAUCCCCGGCGCAAGUCGCGCCAAGGAAAAUGAAGAAGGAUGCGCUCCCCUCGCGCCGGAAACGGAGCGUUGGGGGUUACAUCGUCGUUAUCACAUUCAAAACGACUCUCGGCAACGGAUAUCUCGGCUCUCGCAUCGAUGAAGAACGUAGCGAAAUGCGAUACUUGGUGUGAAUUGCAGAAUCCCGUGAACCAUCGAGUUUUUGAACGCAAGUUGCGCCCAAAGCCGUCAGGCUGAGGGCACGCCUGCCUGGGUGUCACGAAAAGUCGCCGAACCCCAACCCACCCCUCGCGAGCGGGAACGGCGAGGGACGGCGGAUACUGGCCUCCCGUGCGCUCGUCGCGCGCGGUUGGCCCAAAAGUUAGGCCUCUACCCGCGCAAGGCGGCCGCGACACACGGUGGUUGAAAGCGCAAGCACUCCUCGAACACCGUCGCGGGCCCGGCCUCGUUUACGGGGAGGCAAAGACCCCGACGCAGAGCGUCAUCGCGAAGCGACCCCAGGUCAGGCGGGAACACCCGCUGAGUUUAAG